ACAAAAGAGACACACGUGCACUUGUCUCAGUGGGAAAACACCCACAGUAUUUUAUUUUUAUUUUCUGUCCUGCCCUUCACUCUGACACACUCUUGUGUGUGUGUGUGCGGGUGGGGGGAGGCCACCCUGCCCUUACUGACCAGCUGCCCCUGAUUAAAAGGCAGCAAGCCCUAGCAGCCAUGUCUGAGGCACAUCUGAAUGGCUUCUGUCUCUGUAUUGGGCAUCCAGAAACACAAGCUCAUGAGCUUGGAACUGGCGCCUCUGAAAGAGAGGGGGAGGCUUCUGGCAUUUCCCUUCUCCCACAAGCUUUUCCACAGAAGGUGGCAAUCUGUCUCAUUUUGUAAGCAUUGCAGAUUGAUUUGAAAUUGCUCCCUAACCAACAAAAAUGUAGAAGGAAGAAAAAAGACUACACAUGAAAUCUAAGUUAAGAUGUAUCCUCCAAAAAGGACUUCUCACAUAGGAUUGCUGCUGUUUGUUUGUUUGUUUGUUUGUUUGUUUGUUUGUUUUACUAGCCUUACGCCUUUAACAACAACCUAACGUAGAGAAAUGUUAUACUUCAUCUCCAAGCCAGAAAAGGCCUCUCUUGCUACAUUUCUUGAGCUGCUUUUAUAAGGCAAACGAGCAGACUUUAUUAUACCUUUUAAAGAGUUUGUGAGUGUGUUUGUGUGUGAAAGUCAUACUUCCCAAUUACCUACAAAUUCCAAAUGUUGCAUCCACAAUCCUGCCACUGAAAUUAGGUGGUUUUGACACCAGAAUAGGCUGGGAGGGGGAGGUUAUACAAAGUAUUUUGUAGCAGAAGUUCUGAAUAAAAUCCUCAGAUGUUAGCCACUAUUGUUCUGAACAGAUUCCUCACACUCAAUAAUCAGAUAAAUAAUUCAGAAACAAGAUCAUGUGCAAGAGAAGCAGAAUAUCUUUCUCAGAUUCAAAUUUACUAUGAUUGGAAUUUACCAUUUAUGGUAAUUAUUUUAUUUUAUUUUAUUUUAUUUUAUUUUAUUUUAUUUUAUUUGAAAUAUUUCUG